GACGAACGCUGGCGGCGUGCCUAAUACAUGCAAGUAGAACGCACAGUUUAUACCGUAGCUUGCUACACCAUAGACUGUGAGUUGCGAACGGGUGAGUAACGCGUAGGUAACCUGCCUGGUAGCGGGGGAUAACUAUUGGAAACGAUAGCUAAUACCGCAUAAUAUUAAUUAUUGCAUGAUAAUUAAUUGAAAGGUGCAAUUGCACCACUACCAGAUGGACCUGCGUUGUAUUAGCUAGUAGGUGAGGUAACGGCUCACCUAGGCGACGAUACAUAGCCGACCUAAGAGGGUGAUCGGCCACACUGGGACUGAGACACGGCCCAGACUCCUACGGGAGGCAGCAGUAGGGAAUCUUCGGCAAUGGACGAAAGUCUGACCGAGCAACGCCGCGUGAGUGAAGAAGGUUUUCGGAUCGUAAAGCUCUGUUGUAAGAGAAGAACGGGUGUGAGAGUGGAAAGUUCACACUGUGACGGUAUCUUACCAGAAAGGGACGGCUAACUACGUG
rnacentral:rRNA from 1 species